GAUUUCUGUAGAUUGUAUCCUGAAACUUUACUGAAUUCAUUUAUUAAAUCUAAGAGUUCUUUGGUGGAAAAUAUGUUUUAAUAGGUUAAGGAAAUGGAAGGGAUUCUGAAGAGAAGAUAUCCCAAUUCUUUACCUGCUUUAAUAUUGGCUGCAUCAGCAGCUGGUGAUACAGUGGAUAAAAAUACAGUGGAAUUUAUGGAGAAAAGGAUAAAAAAGCUAGAAGCUGAUCUGGAGGGCAAAGAUGAAGACGCAAAGAAAAGCCUUCGUACCAUGGAACAACAGUUUCAGAAAAUGAAGAUUCAGUAUGAACAAAGACUAGAGCAGCAGGAGCAGCUACUUGCCUGCAAAUUGAAUCAACAUGACUCUCCCAGAAUUAAAGCCCUAGAGAAGGAACUUGAUGACAUCAAGGAAGCCCAUCAGAUCACUGUAAGAAACCUUGAAGCCGAAAUAGACGUUCUUAAACAUCAGAAUGCUGAAUUAGACGUCAAGAAAAAUGAUAAAGAUGAUAAAGAUUUUCAGUCUAUAGAAUUCCAGGUGGAACAGGCUCAUGCUAAAGCUAAAUUAGUAAGACUCAAUGAAGAACUGGCUGCAAAAAAGAGAGAAAUACAAGACCUCUCAAAAACUGUGGAGAGGCUUCAGAAAGACAGAAGAAUGAUGCUAUCAAAUCAGAACUCAAAGGGCAGAGAGGAAAUGUCUGCCAAAAGGGCAAAGAAAGAUGUUUUGCACUCAAGUAAAGGAAAUGCUAACUCCUUCCCUGGAACCCUGGACAGCAAGCUGUACCAACCACAUACUUUCACUGAUUCCCAUGUUUCAGAAGUUUUACAAGAAAACUACAGAUUAAAAAAUGAGCUAGAAGGAUUAAUUUCAGAGAAGAAUGAACUGAAGAUGAAAUCUGAAGCAGCGAUGAAUCAAUUUGAAAACUCCAUGAGAAGGGUCAAGGAAGAUACUGCAGCACACAUUGCAUCCCUCAAAGCAUCUCAUCAGAGAGAAAUAGAGAAACUCCUUUGCCAAAAUGCAGUAGAAAAUUCUUCUUCCAAAGUAGCUGAACUAAAUCGUAAAAUAGCAACUCAAGAGGUACUUAUAAGACAUUUCCAAAGUCAAGUUAAUGAGCUGCAGAGUAAACAAGAGUCUCUCGUAGUUUCUGAAGUUCGAGAAGAAAUUCUACAGAAAGAGAUUACAAAACUCUUAGAAGAAUUGAGAGAAGCCAAAGAAAACCAUACACCAGAGAUGAAACAUUUCGUGGGCUUAGAAAAGAAAAUUAAGCAGAUGGAAAUGAGACAUGCACAAAGAGAACAGGAACUUCAACAGAUAAUACAGCAAACACACCAAGUAGUAGAAACUGAGCAAAACAAAGAAGUUGAAAAAUGGAAAAGACUGGCACAGUUAAAGAAUCGUGAGCUGGAGAAGUUCCGCACAGAACUAGACUCAAUAUUAGAUGUUCUCCGAGAGCUGCACCGGCAAGGAGUGGUUGUGCCAGUUGCUUUUGCAGAUGAAAUGAAUGCACCAGAGUAUUAAUAGAAAUUCAGAUUUCAUAAUGACCUUAUUAAAAGGCCUGAAGAUGGAUGGGAUUGUGCCACUGUCAGGACAGCUUAUGAAAAACAAGUGUUCCAAUAUGUUUCCAGAAAGCAAA
rnacentral:sRNA from 1 species